CAAUAGCGUAUAUUAAAGUUGUUGCAGUUAAAAAGCUCGUAGUUGGAUUUCUGGUAGGAGUGACCGUUCCGAACUUGAUUGUUCGUGUAUUGUGUUUUCUCCAGCCAUCCUUGUGGAGAACUUUUCUUGCAUUAAUUUGUAGGGAUUGGGACCCGCAUCGUUUACUGUGAAAAAAUUAGAGUGUUUAAAGCAGGCAAUCGCUUGAAUACAUUAGCAUGGAAUAAUAAGAUGGGACUUUGGUACUAUUUUGUUGGUUUGCAUACCAAAUUAAUGAUCAACAGGAACAGUUUGAGGAUAUUCGUAUGAACAUGUCAGAGGUGAAAUUCUUGGAUUUUGAUCAGACGAACUACUGCGAAAGCAUUUAUCAAGGAUGUUUUCAUUAA
rnacentral:rRNA from 1 species